GUUUGAUCCUGGCUCAGAACGAACGUUAGCGGCGCGCCUAACACAUGCAAGUCGAGCGAGAAAGGGCUUCGGCCCCGGUAAAGCGGCGCACGGGUGAGUAACACGUAGGCAAUCUGCCUCGAGGUGGUGGAUAACCCUCCGAAAGGAGGGCUAAUACAGCAUGAGACCACGUCGUCGAAAGACGAUGCGGCCAAAGCCGGCCUCUUCAUGAAAGCUGGCGCCACGAGAUGAGCCUGCGGCCCAUCAUCUAGUUGGUAGGGUAACGGCCUACCAAGGCAAAGACGGGUAGCUGGUCUGAGAGGAUGAUCAGCCACACUGGAACUGAGACACGGUCCAGACUCCUACGGGAGGCAGCAGUGGGGAAUCUUGCGCAAUGGCGAAAGCCUGACGCAGCGACGCCGCGUGAGCGAUGAAGGCCU
rnacentral:rRNA from 1 species